rnacentral:lncRNA from 1 species
AACGUGGCUGCACGAAAAGAAGCACAAAAAAUAGAAUGACAAAAAUGUGGUCGUUAUGUGAACUUUGAGGUAACUCUUCAUGGAAUCGCUUAACCCACACUCCAUGCAAUGUUAAGCAGAUUUGAGGCCAGAGCCAGCCAUCGUAACCACAAGAUAUGCAAAUUUUGCUGGUGCUGGUAUUGACCUGUCACAGCAAAAAUGAAAAAUCCAAGUAUAAUCGCUUGGAUAAACAGCAUCCCAUCUGAUUACCGUGGAUCUCUUCUUCUCCUUUCUUGAAAUCCCCUCUGUCCUCGUGUACGCCCAUGUGAAUAUGGGGGUAUUCACGAGUCUGAGGUUCUUUUUCCUAUCCUGCCUGGUGUCUUCCAACUAUUCUGCGGAUGGAGCACUUGUGGAAUGCCUGGCUGUAUUUCCCAGGCAUAAAGAUUUGAGACCAGAGCCAGUCAUCAAAGCAACAAAAUAUCCAAAAUUUGCUUGUGCUGUUAUUGGCUUAUUGCAACAAUCUGUCAUCAGCAACAGUAAGAAUCAUCGCUUGGAUAAUGGAGAAACUGCCGAUUUCGUCCAAGUUACGUCUUCUUCCCCUCUCUUGAAAUCCCCUCUGUCCUCGUGUACGCCCAUGUGAAUGUGGGGGUAUUCACGAGUCUGAGGCUCUUUUUCCUAUCCCUUAACUAGUAUCUUCCAACUAUUCUGCGGAUGGAGCACUUUUGGAUGUCUGGCUGUAAUUCCCAGGCAUAAAGGAAUAAUGACCAACUUGUUAGCACAAUAGAAUCGCUGUCGGACCACCACAGAUGCGCUACAGCGAUCCUCCCGUCAUGCACGGCACAAGAGAGUAUUAGAAGACCAACGCCACGCCAAUUUGUGGAUUUCGUCGAACUCAUAAAAAGUGGCGGAGUCUAUUCCCGGCCAAUGGCUAAUUUUCGCCAUUUUCCAUUUGUUUCCGAGACAGUUGGGGAUAACGCAUUAAGAAUAUACUGCGAGUCUGUGACACUUUCCAGCUUUCCAUUUUAAAAGAUAAUCUAGCCUGUAUUUUCAACUCUGCGAAAUCAUCUUAACAUGUGGACUGAAACUGAACAUUUUUUGCCUCAAUGUCGUUGCUUGCUGCAGCUUGCUGCUUGUACCGGUUGAUGUCUCAACUCAUGCAGAAACACUUCACAGCUAAAAAAGCUAUAGAUCAAUUAAUUGAACACCAGAGAGUAGAUCUUUGCUUCAGUAUUGCAAUUCUAUCUGAUCAUGAGACCUGAAGCUUAUGCUGUACAUUUUCCCAAACGUCGUCUCUUGGGGCAUGUACAGGUUCAUCUGUACGUUUCGUCAUAUGCUGAAAUACUUCAGGACAGUAAAAGUAAUUAUGGUGAUCAACUUUUUAAUCUAAGCCUAUUGAAGUCUACGCUUCUUCAUUGCAGUCAAAUGUGCACAUGGAUUUGUUGCAGCCAGCUGGCGAAAGGUGUUCCUGUUGCAGGCUUGCACCCUGUACCGUGUGUAGCUUUCGUCACAUGCAGAAACACUUCCGAACAAUUUAAAAUUUCCAUGGUCAGUUUUAUGUUUGUGACGGUCUGUUAAAAUAAGAAUUUAAAUCUAGAACAACGCCUCCUUUGAGCGGCCCGGACAAUCCUGAAUCCUUUAGGGUUGCCAUUCCAUCGAGGCUUAAACGAGGAUGACGCGGAGGUGUUGCCCAUUGAGGGGUUUUGGUGACAAGGAGUCACUGAACGAAACGCUAAACCAAAUAAAAAAAGUAUUAAAAAAGCACCAAACGACACGCGAUAGGUUCCGGCGGUCAUCAACUAUUCAAGAUGGUAGACCUGUCAAUGUAAAAGACAGGGGGACAGGGUCAAACAAAACACAGGUGAUAUGCUUCGUGCUGUUGAGGCUGAAUAUGAUUGGUCCACGGUAUAAUAACGGAUGCAACGUCAUCGCAAUAGCAAAUCUCUGCAGGCGAUUUGAAAUGCGAUUUUUUUUUUGUUUUUUGUUUUUUUUUGCUGGCACAACGUUGACUUCCCCAAAGACUUGAGAUUUUCUCUCCGGGUUUUGUUCUACUUUCACUUUCGUGACUAGCUUUAGCCAUGAAAGGCAUUGUACGCCCUAUAAAACACCUGUCUUGUUUACCUUUGUUUUCAUUCGCCAGUCGCAGUAUCCUUGCAUCAAUUGUUUUAUUAAUCUUUGUCUCCCAAUCGCCAAUACUAAACACGAACCAUGGCGCAUUUCCUGACUACAACGAUCCUGUUGGUCGUCGCGAUGCUGACCGUUGACGCCGCUAGACUCACCAAACGUCAAAUCGAUUUCGUUGGCGGUUUCUCACCUGCCAAGGUGGACAAUGUGGAAGUUGUGAUGAUGGCAGACUUCGCAACUACCGCCGUAUCAGCCAAUAUGAACUCCGGACCGGUAAAACUGCUCAAAAUCGUGAAAGCGGAAAUACAGGCAGUUUCGGGCACUAAGUACAAACUAAACCUCGAGAUAAGAUUGCAGUAGAAUAUUUUCAAAAAAGCCAAUUGUUCAAACGGUUCGAAAUUGAAGAUUUAUUCAUUCACUGAAUAAAUGAGUCAAAUGGCUCAAAUGUCAAUUGACCCAUCCCCAGCGACGUCAACCUGCAGAAAGAAAAAGGCCGUUUCUAUGGCCUUCAGACUCGAAGAUCGCGGAGAUAAUUACGUAAACUGGCAUGGGGUGGCGUAGAGGUUGGGUGAGAAUGACACGUUUUUCAACAUUAUCAAGCAGACCCAUCCCCAGCAACGUCUACCUAAAGAAGGAAAUAAAGGCCAGUUUGCAUUUCAAUCGAAGGUCAUGGAGAUCAUUACGAAAAGGUGUCAUACAGUGGAGAAGAGGUUGGGUGAGAAUGGGACGUUUUGCAUCAUUAUCAAGAAGGUAAAAUAGCCGCAAGGCUUGAGAGGAGGGGUGAGAAAAAGUCGUAUAAAAGGCGAGAGAAAAGUCGACAGGGAUCAGUCGAGUGAGUGUCUCCGACACGGCAACAGCUGCAUUCUUCGUCGUAAUAUCAGUUCGCAAUUAUGGGUAAAUAUUCAUUUUUAAUUUUGAUUCGUAAGUCUAUUGUAUCUUGUUUUGAGUUGUUGAUACGACUAGUAUCUUCGAAAAAUAAUAUCCAAUUGUUUAUUUUAUUGCAUAGUUAGUUAUGGAGUUGUGUUGCUGUUGGGUGUUGUAUCGUUGAUGUCGACCACGAGAGAAAAUCUUUUAGAAGGAAAGAAAAAAGGCAACGGAAGUCAAUCGAGUGAGCAUCUCCGACCAUGCAGCAGCUGCAUUCUUCGUCGUAUUAUCACUUUAUCAGGUCACAAUCACGGUCUGGCUGAUGCUGUCGUGCUGCUAUUGGUUGUUGUAUCGUCGAUGGCUGGGUGGACGGCUGGUGUUCCGAUGUCUCCUGGAUAAGGCGGAUACCAAACCGCAACGCCACCGCCUUACUACACAACAACAUACGCAACGACCAGUUACUACACCGAGGUUGCACAGUUGGGUUUACAGUUAAGCCACCAAGGAUCCAGAUUAUUACACCACAACUUGUGCUGCUCCCCGAGCUACACUACGAAAGCGCUAGAGUACUACACCGAGGCUCCCAAGUACUACACCACCAAGGCACCUGAGAUUACGCAACUACUUAUGCUGCCCCAACCAACGACACCGAGGCUUCAGCUUAUUACACAACCAAAGCUGUCGAAUUCUACACUGGAACGCCCAAGUACGACAGAAAUCAGUCUAGCUAGCUUCUCCGACACCCAACACGGCAGCCCUGAAGUUUCGAAUAAACUUCGCUUCAAACAGUGGAACGGCAAAGAAUGAAGACGAAUUCUACUGCAAUCGCGUCGAAUUGAAUAGUAAAGACAACACAUUCGUACGUGUACACCGCGUCGUUAACUUGACAUUGUUGGUCGGAAAGCCGAACUUGACGAUGGCCGUACCAUCACCUACGACAAGUGCGUUAUUGCCACAGGUAGUAAACGAAAAUCUUUUCCAAUCCCUGAGCGGUGCCCUUAAAGAUGUCCACGAGCACGUCACGCUGUCCCGCAACAUCGAUGGCGCUAACACAUGCCGAGUCCUCUAAAUGUUUAACCAAUGGACAACCGAGAAGGUGAAAGCGGAAAGUGUUAAUGUUUUGCCCAAAGCUUAUGUUGAGGCUGCAACUUUGGAAGACGACGAGGUCGCAUUGACCUUAAACGAUGGUUAAAAGCAGAUUCUAACUAUGUCGUCGCUGUUGUCGGUUUCAACGCAAACACGGAUUUGGCUGUCGCUUCUGGUUUGGAAAUAGAUUCCAAUUUUGGUGGUUAUCGAGUCAAUACCGAGCUCGAAGCACGAUCGGCCGUCUGGCUGGCCGGAGAUGCUGCCUUCUUUUGUGAUAUCAAAUUGGGUCGUCGUCGUAGGGAAUAUCAUCACUUUGCUGUUGUAUCAGGGUGAUUGGCUGGAGAGAACAAUACUGGCAAGGAAACAUGGAUGAACAACUGCAGUGUACUCUUCCCAAGUGCAUUCUUCUUCGUAUUAUCAGUACGCAAUCGGGCUGGGUCGAUCACUGGUGUACCAAUGUCUCCUGGGUAUGGUGGAUACCAAAGCACCACACCGCUGCCUUACUACACAACGACAACAUUCGCACCAACCGGUUACUACACUGAGGCUCACAAUUACUACAUCACCAAGGCUCCAGAAUAUUACACCGCAGAUAACGCUUCCCCGAGCUACAUCAUCAAAGAUCCUGAGUACUACACCGAGGCUCCCAAGUGCUACACCACCAAGUCACCGGAGUACUACACGUAUGUUGCCCCAGCUUACUACACCGAGAGGUUUCCAAGAAUUAUUUAGUUCCUAGCUACUACACCGAGGCUCCAACUUAUUACACCACCAAAGCGGUUGAAUACUACACCGAGACACCCAAUUACUACACCACCAAGGCUCCAGAGUAUUACACCACAACUUGUGCUACCCCGAGCCACUACACCGAAGCCCCGAAGUAUUACUCUGCCCCAAGCUACACAACUGCAACUGAGGCGGCCAAGUAUUACGCAGCCCCGACUAACUACACAGCGGAUGUUCCUUCGUACUACGUUGAACCGGAAUACUACACCGAGGCUCCAGUUUACUACACCACAACCUACGCUACACCUACUA